UUCAUUUGAUGAUCAAUGUUUGAUUGAUAAGUAUUAAAUAAAUAAUUUAGACAGACUAAAUUAUUAUUUAAUCCCAAUGUCAACAUUACAUCAAAUUCUGAAUGUAGUAACUUUAACUUAGCAUAAAAAUGGCACCAAGUCUGUUACAUUUCAAAUUAGAAUAAAACAACAAAAACAAAUGUUUAAAACAUAAUGUAUUUAUAAGGAGAAAACUUGUGAAAUAAUUUAGUUUUGCAAAAUUCCACUUGCGAGCGCUCUAACAAAAAACGCGAGUAGGGAAAUUUUAAAAAAAGACGGAGACCAAAAAGAGGCAAGAAGAGAAAGAAGAAAGGGAGCAAGAAUCAAGAAGUGUCUUGUCAUUCAGGAUGCAGAGUGACCAGCCAUGGGCAAGAGGACACCAGUGAUGCCUAGGUUUGUAUGGGUGGUAAGAUAGCAUUGGCUUAGAUAUUAUAAUAGUGUUGGCCUAGAUAGAAGACUAAACCCUUCACCCUUCUAGCAGGUUCAGAGGCAAGAUGUGAGGUUCAAGACUGAACUUGGGCAGACGAUGAUGAGUCUUCAUUGGAUGUCCUUGAUGCAUGAUGACCAGAGGUCGUUAGAGGUCGCUAUAGAGUUCAACAGGUUAAGUAUCAGGAUAAGUAUAAAAGAUUAACAACCGUUUAACUCCACAGCUUCUAACAACCGUUUUACUCCACAGCUUCUAACAACCUUUUAUCUCCAGAGCUUCUAACAACCUUUCCCUCCACCUGCAGCUUUUUACGUUUUAUCAACUGGCUUUAACUUUGUUUUUGUUUUUCCCACAGAAGUUAUUGUGCCUUGAUGGUAGCAUCUCUUGGACACCGAUGAGAACAGUUUGUGUCCAUUCUUCUGAAGAGAAUGUUGUGAGAGGUUAAUGUGCGCAUUGCUGACAACUCUGGAACAAGUAGCUGGUGACAGUUUUGGUAUCAAGCCGAGUCUUGUGUGCGGUGGUGAGUAGCCUACAGCUGGAGUUGUUGCAACAGGCAUGGUGAAGGAAACAUCAACAAGUCAACAACAGACCGCAUGUUUUUGCGACACUUUGAUGCAGAUGCUGAAGAACUUUUUGAACUGUGCAACCAGCUGAAGGAGGACUGCGUCGAGUCUAGCCAGAUGAUUCUGCACACAAGGCGAACUAUUCAAGUGAACUCAGCUGGACCAUGAGGGCACCCUAUUGACUGUACGUGUCAUUCAAAGCUAAGGGCCUUUACCAAACCUCGGCUUGGGCUCUGGCUUUGGCUUCAGGCUUGAGCUAACUCAAACAGAGCUGGCAAGCCGCAGCCAGAGCCCAUGACGAGGUUUGGAAAAGACCCUUAGCAUAAAAACUUACUUGGUAGUGAGCAAUGGAGAGCAGUUGAUAAUGAAAAACAUUGUGAGAAAC